AGUGAACGCUGGCGGUAGGCCUAACACAUGCAAGUCGAACGGCAGCACAGGAGAGCUUGCUCUCUGGGUGACGAGUGGCGGACGGGUGAGGAAUACAUCGGAAUCUGCCCAGUCGUGGGGGAUAACGUAGGGAAACUUACGCUAAUACCGCAUACGACCUUCGGGUGAAAGAGGGGGAUCGCAAGACCUCUCGCGAUUGGAUGAGCCGAUGUCGGAUUAGCUAGUUGGCGGGGUAAUGGCCCACCAAGGCGACGAUCCGUAGCUGGUCUGAGAGGAUGAUCAGCCACACUGGAACUGAGACACGGUCCAGACUCCUACGGGAGGCAGCAGUGGGGAAUAUUGGACAAUGGGCGCAAGCCUGAUCCAGCCAUACCGCGUGGGUGAAGAAGGCCUUCGGGUUGUAAAGCCCUUUUGUUGGGAAAGAAAUCUUUCAGGCUAAUACCCUGGGAGGAUGACGGUACCCAAAGAAUAAGCACCGGCUAACUUCGUG
rnacentral:rRNA from 1 species